rnacentral:rRNA from 1 species
AUUGAACGCUGGCGGCAGGCCUAACACAUGCAAGUCGAACGAGUGGCGGACGGGUGAGUAAUGUCUGGGAAACUGCCUGAUGGAGGGGGAUAACUACUGGAAACGGUAGCUAAUACCGCAUACCAUCGGAUGUGCCCAGAUGGGAUUAGCUAGUAGGUGGGGUAAAGGCUCACCUAGGCGACGAUCCCUAGCUGGUCUGAGAGGAUGACCAGCAAAAAUGGAACUGAGACACGGUACAGACUACUACGGGAGGCAGCAGUGGGGAAUAUUGGACAAUGGGCGAAAGCCUGAUGCAGCCAUGCCGCGUGUGUGAAGAAGGUCUUCGGAGGGUAAAGCACUUUAAGUUGGGAGGCGUUACCAACAGAAUAAGCACCGGCUAACUUCGUGCCAGCAGCCGCGGUAAUAC